rnacentral:rRNA from 1 species
AUUGAACGCUGGCGGCAUGCUUUACACAUGCAAGUCGAACGGCAGCCCGGGCUUCGGCCUGGCGGCGAGUGGCGAACGGGUGAGUAAUGCAUCGGAACGUGCCCAGUAGUGGGGGAUAGCCCGGCGAAAGCCGGAUUAAUACCGCAUACGACCUGAGGGUGAAAGCGGGGGACCGAAAGGCCUCGCGCUAUUGGAGCGGCCGAUGUCGGAUUAGCUAGUUGGUGGGGUAAAGGCUUACCAAGGCGACGAUCCGUAGCUGGUCUGAGAGGACGACCAGCCACACUGGGACUGAGACACGGCCCAGACUCCUACGGGAGGCAGCAGUGGGGAAUUUUGGACAAUGGGGGCAACCCUGAUCCAGCCAUGCCGCGUGCGGGAAGAAGGCCUUCGGGUUGUAAACCGCUUUUGUUCGGGAAGAAAUCCUCUGGGCUAAUACCCCGGGGGGAUGACGGUACCGGAAGAAUAAGCACCGGCUAACUACGUG